rnacentral:rRNA from 1 species
GACGAACGCUGGCGGCGUGCCUAAUACAUGCAAGUAGAACGCUGAAGGAGGAGCUUGCUCUUCUGGAUGAGUUGCGAACGGGUGAGUAACGCGUAGGUAACCUGCCUGGUAGCGGGGGAUAACUAUUGGAAACGAUAGCUAAUACCGCAUAACAGUAGAUGUUGCAUGACAUUUGCUUAAAAGGUGCAAUUGCACCACUACCAGAUGGACCUGCGUUGUAUUAGCUAGUUGGUGGGGUAACGGCUCACCAAGGCGACGAUACAUAGCCGACCUGAGAGGGUGAUCGGCCACACUGGGACUGAGACACGGCCCAGACUCAUACGGGAGGCAGCAGUAGGGAAUCUUCGGCAAUGGACGGAAGUCUGACCGAGCAACGCCGCGUGAGUGAAGAAGGUUUUCGGAUCGUAAAGCUCUGUUGUAAGAGAAGAACGAGUGUGAGAGUGGAAAGUGCACACUGUGACGGUAUCUUACCAGAAAGGGACGGCUAACUACGUG